AGAGAACUAUGGAUGUCAAUAACAGCCAACCGCGAACGUGAUAUCUCUAUAACAUCAAAAAAAAUUUGAUUUUUUUAGAAACGUGUAAAUAACUUUUUAUGAUUCUUCAUGUUCUCCUUCAAAAAUUCCUCUCCUUCAAGACAUAGUUUCAGUUGUAAUGAAAACAGACGUGGUUGUGAAUUUCUUAACCUGUCUUCAACCCUAAGGUCACACGUUGAAAAAUUAAUAUCAAGAAAAUCACGCAUUCUCCGGGAAUCUCGCCCUUCAGAAUUACUUAUAAUCAUCGGAAUUUCUUCGGUUCUCGUUCGCUUCGUAACUCGCAACUCGUCCAGAAGUUGACCAUACUCUUGCAGCCGGUCUGCAACGUCAAAAAACUCACCAAAUUAUUUUUUCAUCAAUUUGGUUAGCUAAACCAAUGUAAAUAAAAGAACGAAGAUUUUUUUUUUCCAAA